rnacentral:rRNA from 1 species
AGUAAAUUGGUUAAGUUAGAAAGGGCGCACGGUGGAUGCCUUGGCACUAGGAGCCGAAGAAGGACGGGACUAACACCGAUAUGCUUUGGGGAGCUGUACGUAAGCGUUGAUCCAGAGAUUUCCGAAUGGGGGAACCCACUAUCUUUAGUCGGAUAGUAUCCUUACGUGAAUACAUAGCGUGAGGAAGGCAGACCCAGGGAACUGAAACAUCUAAGUACCUGGAGGAAGAGAAAGAAAAAUCGAUUUCCUGAGUAGCGGCGAGCGAAACGGAAAGAGCCCAAACCAAGAAGCUUGCUUCUUGGGGUUGUAGGACACUCUAUACGGAGUUACAAAAGAAAGUUAUAAAUGAAGCGGUCUGGAAAGGCCCGCCAAAGACGGUAACAGCCCGGUAGUUGAAAUGGCUUUCCCUCCAGAGUGGAUCCUGAGUACGGCGGAAC